rnacentral:rRNA from 1 species
UGGGGAAUUUUGGACAAUGGGCGAAAGCCUGAUCCAGCAAUGCCGCGUGUGUGAAGAAGGCCUUCGGGUUGUAAAGCACUUUUGUCCGGAAAGAAAUCCUUGGCUCUAAUACAGUCGGGGGAUGACGGUACCGGAAGAAUAAGCACCGGCUAACUACGUGCCAGCAGCCGCGGUAAUACGUAGGGUGCAAGCGUUAAUCGGAAUUACUGGGCGUAAAGCGUGCGCAGGCGGUUUGCUAAGACCGAUGUGAAAUCCCCGGGCUCAACCUGGGAACUGCAUUGGUGACUGGCAGGCUAGAGUAUGGCAGAGGGGGGUAGAAUUCCACGUGUAGCAGUGAAAUGCGUAGAGAUGUGGAGGAAUACCGAUGGCGAAGGCAGCCCCCUGGGCCAAUACUGACGCUCAUGCACGAAAGCGUGGGGAGCAAAACAGGAUUAGAUACCCUGGUAGUCCACGCCCUAAAACGAUGUCAACUAGUUGUUGGGGAUUCAUUUCCUUAGUAACGUAGCUAACGCGUGAAGUUGACCGCCUGGGGAGUACGGUCGCAAGAUUAAAGCUUAAAUGAAUUGACGGGGUCAUAGCUGUUUCCU